CACCCAAACCGUCUCCUACCUCCCACCACCAAUCCACCUAACCCUCUCCCACCCCCUGAAGCCGUAGCAACCAGAUUCCCUCGUUCUCCCCAACCCUAACCCUAUCUCUGAUCUGAAACUUUGGUUGGGCCGCAGGCUUGUUGUAUCCCAGAUGGCAUCGUCUUCGUCAUCAUCAGUAGCGCGCUCGUCCUCCAAUGCUGGAGAUCCUGGCUACUAUCCAAAGCAAUCUCCGAUUCCUUACCGUGAGCACAGGCUAGCAUAUGAGCCAGCUUCAAAUUACUGGUGCAAAGAGAAAGGGGCGAGAUGGAUCUCCUGGACCAACGCUAACCCUGGACAGGGAGAACGCUCGGCUCAAUGGCGUCAACGCACACCUUGAAAUGGGGAUUGAGGAACGAAGCUCCAUUAAUAUUUCUUUGAGGGAUGCAUUGUGCAAGACGAAGGAACGAAAUAAGGCUCUGGAAGAAAAGCUAUGUCAGACUGAAGCCCGUCUCAAGUAAAAGGCUAACGAACAGCAGAAGCGGAUGCUUUUUAGUGUAGUGUUGUUAGUGUUCCUCCUGUUUCUAGCUAGCAAGCUUACGGAUUAGUAUGGAGCAUUUACUGUUGCACUGCUCAAGCUGAUGUGCUAUUCGUGAACAAUUUACUUACUAUUGUGCUAUCCGCUACCAUUUCCUUUUGUGAAAUCUGAAAAAUGAUGUUUAUGUUCAACAAAAAGUUUCUAUUUGGGGUGCA